rnacentral:lncRNA from 1 species
UGCUUUUCUUUAUAUGUAUUUACAGGCCCACAUAAUUUGUUGAAUAAGCGUUAGUCGCAAAUUAAUAAUUGGUAAGAGACGACGGACGUUCGUGUAGGUGGCUUUAAUUUGUUUUGCUCUGGUUUCUCAUUUUGUUGGUGUUUUUUUGUUGUUUAUGCAAUUGUGAUGGAACGUAAAAUGAAUAUUCCAUCAACAUCCAGUAUGCGAUCGCGAAACAUUAUGGCGCUGUCUUUGAAAACUUCAAGCCCAAAUAUUGUCCACACCAACACCACUGAUGACAGUGAUAACAGCUUUAAUGAGUUCUUGACAUCGGAUGUACUGAAUGUGAGUGUACAAGACAUUAAUUUAUCUGUUUUUGAAAGAUCAGACUUAAACGAAAAUAUCGAAAACGCCGAUCCCAAUAUUAUAAGUAAUAAAGACAAUGUUAGAACCCCAGAGGAAAAUGUCGAGAAUAAUAUCGAUUUAUCUGAAAGUGAGGUAUCGUCAGAAGAAGAUUACUUUGCUGUGGUUGCUGGUAUGAGAAAAAGAAAAAGAUAUGUUCAUUCCAAAGAAGAACGUAACAAGAUUAGAAAAGCGAAAAAAAUUCAAUCUUUACGUUGUACGGCCACCUUGCAAUUGCCAAAACAAGUGUAAGGAAAAAAUUAUAAGCGAAAGAAGAUUGGAAAUAAAUAAAAAAUUUUGGGCUUUAAAUUAUGAGUCAAGAAAAACAUUUAUAUCAAAUAUGUGCGAAGAAAGUUUAGUUAAAAUACGUAAAACAAAAAACCACAGUACCUUUAAAAGAAAUAAAACCAUUUAUUACUUUUUAAAGACAUCAAAUAAUGAACGAGUUAAAGUAUGUAAAGAAUUUUUUGCUGGUACACUUGGCUAUAAAAAAAAUAAUGGUUCUCUAUUAAAAAAUAUAACACCUCCAAAAGACAAAAGGGGAAAACAUAAUAACCAAUUAAAAAAAGUAAAUACAGAGAAUAUAAAUUUACAUGUAAUGUCAUUUUGCCCUACAAUAUUGCAUUAUCGAAGAGAGCAUGCCCCCAAAAAGCUAUAUUUGCCUAGUGAUUUGACAAUAACAGGUAUGCAUACAAACUUUUUACAAACUUAUGGUCAUUCGUCCUGCAGCUAUGAAUCUUACCGUAAAGUAGUUGUGAAUGACCUUAAUAUAGCAUUCACAAAACUAGGGCAUGAAGAAGUGAGUGUGAGAAGCUCACAAACUUCAUGAAGUCUCUCAUUCGGAAAAUGAGACCGAUGAAUGUGGUGAAUGUUCUAACCAUAAAAUCCAUUUAAAAAGGGCUAAUGAUGCUCGACAAAAAUACAGGGCCGGCGAAAAACUUAAUUCAUCUAAUGACUUACAUGUAAGUGUGGACUUACAAAAAGUUAUUAUGUUGCCUCGUUUGGAGGCGUUUAAAGAGGUUAUAUUCACUCCCCGAAUAAUUGCAUUCAAUGAAAGUUUCGUUCCUUUGGGGAAAUUUAACAAAAAAAGACCGCCAUUUGCUGCAAUUUGGCAUGAGGGAGUGACUGGAAGAAAAAAAGAAGAUAUCACUAGCACAUACCACAAUUUUUUAACCACUUAUGCGAGGGACUAUGAAAAUAUAGUGUUUUGGGCGGACAACUGCACCGCACAAAACAAAAACUAUUGCUUGUUCAGCUUUUUAAUUUACAUUAUAAACUCAAAUGAAAUAUGUGCAAAUACUAUAACAUUUUGUUAUUUUGAACCUGGACACACGUUUAUGGCAGCUGAUUCCUUUCAUCACCUUGUGGAAAAGCAGCUUCGAAAGCAAGGUAGAGUUUAUGAUUUUCAAGAUUUUUGCGAUGUAGUUCAAAACUGCAGUUCUGUUAAACCAAUCGUAAAAGAGAUGAAGAAAGACGAUUUCUGUCACUGGCCAUCGCUAAGCUCUACUUACCAAAUUAAGUCCAAGUCGGUAUCGAUACGAGAUUUUAAAGAAAUAUCAGUUAAACGUGGAUCAAAAAGCUUAUAUUUUAAAAAAGAAAUAAAUGGGACAGAAGACAUUUUUGAGUUUUUACCAAAAAAAUUUUUAAAAGGAAAUUCUCAACUAAAAAAACCAGAACCUUUGGAUCAAAAUAAAGGCAUAUCUGUUGAUAGAAAAAAUACUAUUAAUAAUAAAUUACUUAAAUUAAUGCCAGAACAUAAACAAAAUUUUUGGAAGGUACUGCCAGUUAACCAAAAUAAUCAAAAUAUUCCUGUUGAUAAUGACGAAAAUGAUGAAUAAAAGCUGUUCCAAAUAAAACCCAAAUUUUAACAUUUAAUUAGACUCUAAGGCAUUUUAAUUUAAAAUUAAGUUAAGCAAAUAUUUUAAGAGAAUAAAUCUUAUGUUUUUAAGUAAUAAAUUUACUGUACUAAUCUCUAUAUGUAUUUUUCCUUAUAAAUUAGUAAAAAAAUAUACUUUUUUUAUUAUUUAGGCUUCUUUCAAAUCAUACAAUGCAAUUAAAAUCAAAUAGAGCUUAAGCCUAUUUUACUAUGUACGUUGUAAUCUGUAUGGGUUUAUAAUACUUACCAAGAAAAGCAUAUGUACCGAUUAGGCGAUAUAUGCUUUUCUUUCUAGGGAUGUUGGCAUAAAAUAAAAAUUAGAUACCCUUAUG